AAAUUUUUAAUUUAUUUUAAUUUUCUAUUCAAAAUAUAGUUAUUUCAAAGUUUAAACUUUUUUUUUUUUUACUGUAAAGGAGAAAUUAAUUUAUUAUUAGGUAUGUUGAAGGCUUUUACCUUUUGUAUCAUGGUUGAACUAAAAUAAGUAAUUGUGGGUUUUCUAGAAAAAAGAAGAAACUUUUUAAAUGUUAAGAACUUCAGGAAAGCUAUUUCAUUAGUUUCUUUUUAUUAAAAAGUUGUAAUGAGAUGUUUCGAUUUUUUUGAUAGCUAGUUGUUCUUUUAAACUUUUAAGAGAUUAAGGAGGGGGGUAAUCUCCCUUUUUUUGAAUAAAAUUUUUUUUUUAUGAGGUUUAGGAAUAAAAGUUUCUUUCGUUAAAAAAUGUGUAAUAACUAAUAUUUUGUCUUUAUAAUUUUUCUUGUCUGAAGGUCUUUUUAUUAUUUUUUUUUUUAAAAAAAAAAAUGUUUAAAUUAGUAUUUAGUUUUUUUCUUUUUUAUGAACUCGGCAAUAAGACGUUUGACUGUUUUCAAAAACAUAGUCUUUUGAGGUGUUAUAAAAGAUGGUUUCUGCUCAGUGUUUAAGUAAACAGCCGCGGUAAUUUGACCGUGCAAAGGUAGCAUAAUUAUUUGCCCUGUAAUUGAGGGCUAGAAUGAAUGGGAGAACAAAAUGUCUGCUUUAUUUUUAAGAAAAAAAGAAUUUUCUUUUUUAGUGAAGAAGCUAAAAUUGUUGUGAGGGACAAGAAGACCCUUUUGAGCUUUAGUAAUUAUAUUUUUCUUAAAUGUCAUUACUUUGGUUGGGGCGACCAAGGAAGAAAAGAUCUUCUUUUUAGAACGUUGAUCCGGGGGUUUCGAUAAAUGAACUAAGCUACCAAAGGGAUAACAGCGUAAUUUUUUUUGUGAGUUCUUAUUUAAAAAAAAGAUUGCGACCUCGAUGUUGACUUAUGAUUUCCUGUUGGUGUAGAAGCUAUUAGGGUGGGUCUGUUCGACCUUUAAAAUUUUACGUGAGUUGAGUUCAGACCGGUGUGAGCCAGGUUGGUUUCUAUCUUCAUAAAUUUAUUAAGUUUUUUAGUAUGAAAGGAUUUCUAACUUUUUUGU
rnacentral:rRNA from 1 species